UUAGGAGCUAGCCGUCGAAGGUGGGACAAAUGAUUGGGGUGAAGUCGUAACAAGGUAGCCGUAUCGGAAGGUGCGGCUGGAUCACCUCCUUUCUAAGGA
rnacentral:rRNA from 1 species